rnacentral:rRNA from 1 species
UACAGAGGUCUCGAGCGUUGUUCGGAUUCAUUGGGCGUAAAGGGUGCGUAGGUGGCGCGCUAAGUCAGGUGUGAAAUUUCGGAGCUUAACUCCGAAACUGCAUUUGAUACUGGCGUGCUUGAGGACUGGAGAGGAGACUGGAAUUCAUGGUGUAGCAGUGAAAUGCGUAGAGAUCAUGAGGAAGACCAGUGGCGAAGGCGGGUCUCUGGACAGUUCCUGACACUGAGGCACGAAGGCCAGGGGAGCAAACGGG